rnacentral:rRNA from 1 species
UACGUAGGGGGCAAGCGUUGUCCGGAAUCAUUGGGCGUAAAGCGCGUGUAGGCGGUUCGAUAAGUCUGCUGUGAAAGUCCAGGGCUCAACCCUGGGAUGCCGGUGGAUACUGUCGAGCUAGAGUACGGAAGAGGCGAGUGGAAUUCCCGGUGUAGCGGUGAAAUGCGUAGAUAUCGAGAGGAACACCUGCGGCGAAGGCGGGUAGCUGGGCCGACACUGACGCUGAGGCGCGAAAGCCAGGGGAGCGAACGGG